ACUGGGCACGGUGGUGUGUGCCUGUAGUCCCAACUACUAGGGAGGCUGAGGUGGGAGGAUUGCUUGAGUCCAGGAGUUCUGGGCUGUAGUGCACAAUACUGAUCGGGUGUCUGCACUAAGUAUGGUGACCUCCUGGGAUUGGGGGACCACCAAGUUGCAUAAGCAGGGAUGAAAUGGCCCAGGUCAGAAAUGGAGCAGGUCAAAACUCCCGUGCUGAUCAGUAGUGGGAGCGUGUCUGUGAAUGCCACUGCACUCCAGCCUGGGCAACAUUACAAGACCCCGUCUCUA
ensembl:misc_RNA Metazoa_SRP Metazoan signal recognition particle RNA